GACGAACCGAGCGAACGUUGUUCGGAAUCACUGGGCUUAAAGGGCGCGUAGGCGGGUGCUCAAGUCCGUGGUGAAAUCCUCCGGCUCAACCGGAGAACUGCCUCGGAUACUGGGCGUCUCGAGUGUGGUAGGGGUAUGCGGAACUAUCGGUGGAACGGUGAAAUGCGUUGAUAUCGAUAGGAACUCCGGUGGCGAAGGCGGCAUACUGGACCACCACGUGACGCUGAUGCGCGAAAGCCAGGGGAGCAAAGCGGGG
rnacentral:rRNA from 1 species